rnacentral:lncRNA from 1 species
GAACAACUCCCUUCUUCACAAUCAUCUCAAUGGGCUCCUUUGGACCAUCAGUCAGGCACAAAGAAAUCUCUCAUUUGUGGCGUGCAGAUAAGAUUCUGUGAAGAAAUCACUUUUAUUUUUAAUUUUGACUAUGAAAACUGGUACAACACAAGCCGUAAGUCACGUCAUGGGAAUGCACUAGUUUAAAUGAGAAUGUUCCUUACAGAAUCAGAUAUUGAAAUACUUGGAUAAUUAGUUCAUGGUUUUUAUUAUAAAUGUUUAAGUCUUUUUGGAGAAAGUAUGUUACCUGGAAUUGGCUAUGAGAGUUCACAGACACAUUCUAUUACCAGAUUACAGCUUCUGAUGUGACUGCAGAUAAUCUACUGAAAGUCAUCUUGCUUCUUCAUCAAUAAAGCAGUUAAUUGCUUUAUUAUUUUAGUUUCUUUUACUAUUGAUAUCUUUAUUGGAAUAUAAUGAUUAAGAUUCCACUUGAGCCAUUUUUAUUCAUAAUCUUAACUUUACAAGUAGAUAUGAACUGUGGGAUUGAAUACUGCCUCUAAUACUUUGAAAAACUAAAGAUAUAUUAAAAAGCAUGCUUGAAUUUAAAGAUCUGCAAAGAUAGAAAUUAUUUUAAACAUAAUCAAGAAUAUAGUAAGAAGAGUAAAUAUGUUCUAUAGAAUCAGUGAACACAAGAGCUGGGGGAUUUCAAUGAGAGAAAAAAACAAUUUCUAUUCUGAUUAUUACACAUGAUCUUUCAAAGGCCUGGUAUUUAGGUUGUGUUGUGUACGAUUUGUGGCAUAUCAUAGUUCUUUCUGCUUCCUGAUCAUACCUUUUCUUAUUACCAAGCUGUCCUGUCCUGAUGGACUCUGAUCCCUAUGCACCCGUAAGAGAAAAUCAACUCUGUCAUCUGAGGAAUUGGGAAGUCUUGUGUUUACAGACACAGAAGAACAGCAGCACUACUUGGAUGGCAAGGCAAGAGGAUCACUACAAGUUCAAGGCCAACCUGAGUUACUUAAGUGACUUUCAAACUAGACCGGAUUGCUGUGUGAGACCCUUUCUCAAAACAAAGAUAUUGUGGAUUUAAUACAAAUUGAGUUUUUAAAGCCACUGAAUGCGAAGAGGAUAUAAAACAAAACAAAAGGAAAAUCUCAGCCCAUUUCUGACACUUCCAUAAACCGAAUUUGUGGGUUUGAAUUGCUUCUAUUGGGAGAUGUGCAGUCCCAUGUUCUUUCUAUGAUUGAGUAAACUGCCAAAUAUAUGUCUAUGUGCUUUUAUAUAGUGAGCAGUGACAUCUAAGGGAAUAUUGUAUCUUCAACACUAAACCUUGAAGUUUCUUGAGCUAUAGAAUGUCACAGCCCUGCACAUUCUCCAAGCAAGACUUCAAAAAUAUCCAAAUGUACUUUUAUUUCUCUAGAGUUCAUUUUAAUUAGAAAACAAGCUAGGAUUGUGUUAAAAAUGGU